AAUCAACGCUGGCGGCGUGCCUCAGACAUGCAAGUCGAACGCGAAAGUUCCCUUCGGGGGAUAAGUAGAGUGGCGUCCGGGUGAGUAACACGUAGGUAAUCUACCUUUGGGUGGGGAACAACAACCGGAAACGGUUGCUAAUACCGCAUAAUGCAGCGGCACCACAUGGUGACAGUUGUUAAAGCGGGGGGAUCGCAAGACCUCGCGCCUAAAGAGGAGCCUGCGGCGGAUUAGCUAGUUGGAGGGUAACGGCCUACCAAGGCAACGAUCCGUAGCCGGCCUGAGAGGGCGGUCGGCCACACUGACACUGAAAUACGGGUCAGACUCCUACGGGAGGCAGCAGUCGGGAAUUUUGGGCAAUGGGCGAAAGCCUGACCCAGCAACGCCGCGUGAAGGAUGAAAUCCCUCGGGAUGUAAACUUCGCAAGAACAGGAAGAAUAAGUAGGGACAAUACCCCCUAUGAUGACGGUACUGUUUGUAAGCUCCGGCUAACUCCGUGCCAGCAGCCGCCGUAA
rnacentral:rRNA from 1 species